rnacentral:rRNA from 1 species
AACGAACGCUGGCGGCAGGCCUAACACAUGCAAGUCGAGCGAGAUCUUCGGGUCUAGCGGCGGACGGGUGAGUAACGCGUGGGAAUAUGCCUCUUGGUACGGAAUAGCCUCGGGAAACUGGGAGUAAUACCGUAUGUGCCCUUUGGGGGAAAGAUUUAUCGCCAAGAGAUUAGCCCGCGUUGGAUUAGGUAGUUGGUGGGGUAAUGGCCUACCAAGCCGACGAUCCAUGGCUGGUUUGAGAGGAUGAUCAGCCACACUGGGACUGAGACACGGCCCAGACUCCUACGGGAGGCAGCAGUGGGGAAUCUUAGACAAUGGGGGCAACCCUGAUCGAGCCAUGCCGCGUGAGUGAUGAAGGCCUUAGGGUUGUAAAGCUCUUUCAGCUGGGAAGAUAAUGACGGUACCAGCAGAAGAAGCCCCGGCUAACUCCGUG